rfam:Salmo salar isolate Sally breed double haploid chromosome ssa22, whole genome shotgun sequence.
UGAAUGCACUAAUUGUUAGUCGCUCUGGAUAAGAGCGUCUGCUAAAUGACUAAAA